AACGAACGCUGGCGGCAGGCUUAACACAUGCAAGUCGAACGCAUCCUUCGGGGUGAGUGGCGGACGGGUGAGUAACGCGUGGGAACGUGCCCUUCAGUUCGGGAUACCCCAGGGAAACUUGGGCUAAUACCGGAUACGUGCGAGAGCAGAAAGAUUUAUCGCUGAAGGAUCGGCCCGCGUCUGAUUAGCUAGUUGGUGGGGUAAUGGCCCACCAAGGCGACGAUCAGUAGCUGGUCUGAGAGGAUGAUCAGCCACAUUGGGACUGAGACACGGCCCAAACUCCUACGGGUGGCAGCAGUGGGGAAUAUUGGAGAAUGGGCGCAAGCCUGAGCGAGCCAUGCCGCGGGAGUGAUGAAGGGCUUAGGGUUGGAAAGCUCUUUCGUCCGGGACGAGAAUGACGGUACCGGAAGAAGAAGCCCCGGCUAACUUCGUGCCAGCCGCCGCAGUAA
rnacentral:rRNA from 1 species